CUGCGAUAAGCGCCGGUAAGGUGAUAUGAACCGUUAUAACCGGCGAUACCCGAAUGGGGAAACCCAGUGUGACUCGUCACACUAUCAUUAACUGAAUCCAUAGGUUAAUGAGGCGAACCGGGGGAACUGAAACAUCUAAGUACCCCGAGGAAAAGAAAUCAACCGAGAUUCCCCCAGUAGCGGCGAGCGAACGGGGAGGAGCCCAGAGCCUGAAUCAGCAUGUGUGUUAGUGGAAGCGUCUGGAAAGGCGCGCGAUACAGGGUGACAGCCCCGUACACAAAAGCGCAUGUGCUGUGAGCUCGAUGAGUAGGGCGGGACACGUGGUAUCCUGUCUGAAUAUGGGGGGACCAUCCUCCAAGGCUAAAUACUCCUGACUGACCGAUAGUGAACCAGUACCGUGAGGGAAAGGCGAAAAGAACCCCGGCGAGGGGAGUGAAAAAGAACCUGAAACCGUGUACGUACAAGCAGUGGGAGCACCCUUUGGGUGUGACUGCGUACCUUUUGUAUAAUGGGUCAGCGACUUAUAUUCUGUAGCAAGGUUAACCGAAUAGGGGAGCCGGAGGGAAACCGAGUCUUAAUUGGGCGUUAAGUUGCAGGGUAUAGACCCGAAACCCGGUGAUCUAGCCAUGGGCAGGUUGAAGGUUGGGUAACACUAACUGGAGGACCGAACCGACUAAUGUUGAAAAAUUAGCGGAUGACCUGUGGCUGGGGGUGAAAGGCCAAUCAAACCGGGAGAUAGCUGGUUCUCCCCGAAAGCUAUUUAGGUAGCGCCUCGUGAAUUCAUCUCCGGGGGUAGAGCACUGUUUCGGCUAGGGGGCCAUCCCGGCUUACCAACCCGAUGCAAACUGCGAAUACCGGAGAAUGUUAUCACGGGAGACACACGGCGGGUGCUAACGUCCGUCGUGAAGAGGGAAACAACCCAGACCGCCAGCUAAGGUCCCAAAGUCAUGGUUAAGUGGGAAACGAUGUGGGAAGGCCCAGACAGCCAGGAUGUUGGCUUAGAAGCAGCCAUCAUUUAAAGAAAGCGUAAUAGCUCACUGGUCGAGUCGGCCUGCGCGGAAGAUGUAACGGGGCUAAACCAUGCACCGAAGCUGCGGCAGCGACACUGUGUGUUGUUGGGUAGGGGAGCGUUCUGUAAGCCUGUGAAGGUGUGUCGUGAGGCAUGCUGGAGGUAUCAGAAGUGCGAAUGCUGACAUAAGUAACGAUAAAGCGGGUGAAAAGCCCGCUCGCCGGAAGACCAAGGGUUCCUGUCCAACGUUAAUCGGGGCAGGGUGAGUCGACCCCUAAGGCGAGGCCGAAAGGCGUAGUCGAUGGGAAACGGGUUAAUAUUCCCGUACUUGGUGUUACUGCGAAGGGGGGACGGAGAAGGCUAUGUUGGCCGGGCGACGGUUGUCCCGGUUUAAGCGUGUAGGUGUGUGUUCCAGGUAAAUCCGGUUCACUUUAACACUGAGGCGUGACGACGAGGCACUACGGUGCUGAAGCAACAAAUGCCCUGCUUCCAGGAAAAGCCUCUAAGCAUCAGGUAACAUCAAAUCGUACCCCAAACCGACACAGGUGGUCAGGUAGAGAAUACCAAGGCGCUUGAGAGAACUCGGGUGAAGGAACUAGGCAAAAUGGUGCCGUAACUUCGGGAGAAGGCACGCUGACACGUAGGUGAAGUGAUUUACUCAUGGAGCUGAAGUCAGUCGAAGAUACCAGCUGGCUGCAACUGUUUAUUAAAAACACAGCACUGUGCAAACACGAAAGUGGACGUAUACGGUGUGACGCCUGCCCGGUGCCGGAAGGUUAAUUGAUGGGGUCAGCGCAAGCGAAGCUCCUGAUCGAAGCCCCGGUAAACGGCGGCCGUAACUAUAACGGUCCUAAGGUAGCGAAAUUCCUUGUCGGGUAAGUUCCGACCUGCACGAAUGGCGUAAUGAUGGCCAGGCUGUCUCCACCCGAGACUCAGUGAAAUUGAACUCGCUGUGAAGAUGCAGUGUACCCGCGGCAAGACGGAAAGACCCCGUGAACCUUUACUAUAGCUUGACACUGAACAUUGAGCCUUGAUGUGUAGGAUAGGUGGGAGGCUUUGAAGUGUGGACGCCAGUCUGCAUGGAGCCGACCUUGAAAUACCACCCUUUAAUGUUUGAUGUUCUAACGUGGACCCGUUACCCGGGUUGCGGACAGUGUCUGGUGGGUAGUUUGACUGGGGCGGUCUCCUCCUAAAGAGUAACGGAGGAGCACGAAGGUUGGCUAAUCCUGGUCGGACAUCAGGAGGUUAGUGCAAUGGCAUAAGCCAGCUUGACUGCGAGCGUGACGGCGCGAGCAGGUGCGAAAGCAGGUCAUAGUGAUCCGGUGGUUCUGAAUGGAAGGGCCAUCGCUCAACGGAUAAAAGGUACUCCGGGGAUAACAGGCUGAUACCGCCCAAGAGUUCAUAUCGACGGCGGUGUUUGGCACCUCGAUGUCGGCUCAUCACAUCCUGGGGCUGAAGUAGGUCCCAAGGGUAUGGCUGUUCGCCAUUUAAAGUGGUACGCGAGCUGGGUUUAGAACGUCGUGAGACAGUUCGGUCCCUAUCUGCCGUGGGCGCUGGAGAACUGAGGGGGGCUGCUCCUAGUACGAGAGGACCGGAGUGGACGCAUCACUGGUGUUCGGGUUGUCAUGCCAAUGGCACUGCCCGGUAGCUAAAUGCGGAAGAGAUAAGUGCUGAAAGCAUCUAAGCACGAAACUUGCCCCGA
rnacentral:rRNA from 2 species